GAUGAACGCUGGCGGCGUGCCUAAUACAUGCAAGUCGGGCGAACGGACGAGAAGCUUGCUUCUCUGAUGUUAGCGGCGGACGGGUGAGUAACACGUGGAUAACCUACCUAUAAGACUGGGAUAACUUCGGGAAACCGGAGCUAAUACCGGAUAAUAUUUUGAACCGCAUGGUUCAAAAGUGAAAGACGGUCUUGCUGUCACUUAUAGAUGGAUCCGCGCUGCAUUAGCUAGUUGGUAAGGUAACGGCUUACCAAGGCAACGAUGCAUAGCCGACCUGAGAGGGUGAUCGGCCACACUGGAACUGAGACACGGUCCAGACUCCUACGGGAGGCAGCAGUAGGGAAUCUUCCGCAAUGGGCGAAAGCCUGACGGAGCAACGCCGCGUGAGUGAUGAAGGUCUUCGGAUCGUAAAACUCUGUUAUUAGGGAAGAACAUAUGUGUAAGUAACUGUGCACAUCUUGACGGUACCUAAUCAGAAAGCCACGGCUAACUACGU
rnacentral:rRNA from 1 species